UGAGGAAUAUUGUUCAAUGGGCGAGAGCCUGAACCAGCCAAGUAGCGUGCAGGAUGACAGCCCUAUGGGUUGUAAACUGCUUUUAUAUGGGAAUAAAGUGAGGGACGUGUCCCUUAUUGCAUGUACCAUACGAAUAAGGACCGGCUAAUUCCGUGCCAGCAGCCGCGGUAAUACGGAAGGUCCAGGCGUUAUCCGGAUUUAUUGGGUUUAAAGGGAGCGUAUGCUGUUUGUUAAGCGUGUUGUGAAAUGUAAGAGCUCAACUUUUAGAUUGCAGCGCGAACUGGCAGACUUGAGUGCGCACAACGUAGGCGGAAUUCAUGGUGUAGCGGUGAAAUGCUUAGAUAUCAUGACGAACUCCGAUUGCGAAGGCAGCUUACGGGAGCGCAACUGACGCUAAAGCUCGAAGGUGCGGGUAUCGAACAGG
rnacentral:rRNA from 1 species